rnacentral:rRNA from 1 species
GACGAACGCUGGCGGCGUGCUUAACACAUGCAAGUCGAACGGAAAGGCCCUGCUUUUGUGGGGUGCUCGAGUGGCGAACGGGUGAGUAACACGUGAGUAACCUGCCCUUGACUUUGGGAUAACUUCAGGAAGCUGGGGCUAAUACCGGAUAGGAGCUCCUGCUGCAUGGUGGGGGUUGGAAAGUUUCGGCGGUUGGGGAUGGACUCGCGGCUUAUCAGCUUGUUGGUGGGGUAGUGGCUUACCAAGGCUUUGACGGGUAGCCGGCCUGAGAGGGUGACCGGCCACAAUGGGACUGAGAUACGGCCCAGACGCCUACGGGAGGCAGCAGUGGGGAAUAUUGCACAAUGGGCGGAAGCCUGAGGCAGCAACGCCGCGUGCGGGAUGACGGCCUUCGGGUUGUAAACCGCUUUCGCCUGUGACGAAGCGUGAGUGACGGUAAUGGGUAAAGAAGCACCGGCUAACUACGUG